CACCAAGAUGAUCUCUUUCAAAAGAACUGCAGGAGAAGUUUCUAAAACACUGUGAAUGGUACGGAGCAAAGUCGACCAGGCUUCGUUAUAGAAAGCAAUGAUAACAGAGGUGGUAGGAAGUGUCCUAUAGUUGAACUUCUGGGACUUACACUCAUACAUUCUUUUAUCCUCUAUGUGUCGAUGCAGGGAAAUCCUGUCACUGAGGUAAAUAUUGAUGGCGUAUCUCUCAAUGAGUUCUUCUUGCUGCUUCAGUUCAUCCUCGUUGAGCUGGAGUUUGCUGGCUUUCCCCCACUCCCCAAGUGCACGGGAAUCUGCAGGGGGCUUCUUAUAAAGCGGUCGAGACAAAUCCUCCGUAUUUUUCUGGAGGUCUGAGAGCCUUCUUGACCCCAGCUCCCUGGCACGGCCGGCUCCUGCGGAGGCAUGAAAAGUAGAGACCAAGAGCUCCACGAAGAUAUAGGCCACUGUUAAAAACGCCAGCAGCAGGCAGCUCUUGCCUGCCCAAGUCCACCUCACCGCCAUCCGGAUUCUCAGGGCUGAGGCGCAGACGCGGCCACCAAGCCACCACGCAGGGGAAGGGCGGCGGAACCCACAGCUCGAGCUCAGGUGAUUCUGACGCAGGCGCUCCACGGAAACCCUCCGAGAAUUCUGGGGGCCGUGGGGCCGCCCAGCUCAGUCCGGAGCUCCGGAACUCGGGGAAGAGCGUCCGGGAGCCGGGUCUGGGUUCCGCACUCCGUCCGCCCCGAUGGCAGAGAGUGAGAUACGGACGCCCCGGGACGAGGGGCUCAGGACCCGGCUACGGACACCUGCCUCCAUCUCCCUCCAGGAAGUGGGGUAGUAACCAGGACUGGAAUAAGAGCGAUGAAUGGAAGGGCGUUGUGAGCCUGUGAUCGAUGCGAUCAGAGUUCUAUUACGUUUUAAAGAGACAGCACCCGUGACGUUUAAGGUAUUUCACCCCAAUAAUAAAAUAAUAAUGCCAGAAGCUGAAGAGUAAUCAGGACCUCAGGAUUACUCAUAGAUAACACAAGUGUGAAGAGAGGGGAGAGCAGCAAAGGCUGAGCUGCGUGUGCCUGGUCCCUUCCAGACUUUCCAGAUAACUUUGCCCCACGGAGGACAAGGAAAGCCAAAAGAGAGAAGCCAGGAUUGUUAGUCUUGGAAAAUGCCUCCAUAUAGAAACAUGAGCCGGAGAAUAAAUCACUUGCCUCUCUAACCAGUUGGAUUUGGUCCGUGAGUUCCUAGUUUUGUUCACCUGACUUAGUCCCUGACUUUUAAAGUCAAGUGCAUCAACAUGCUGCCAGUACUUUGAUGAACAUCUAUACAGGAUCCAUCUCUACAGCAGUGAAUUCCACCUGGGGUAAAGUAUGCAUGUAGGUUAGGAUGCUACAGUGGGACUCUGUCUGCUUUUUCUGUCUGUUUCUGCUAAGGCCUCCACACAUUAGAUGGUCAGUACUCUUUGUUCUAUGGGAAGGGCUAGAAUACCUAAACAGGACUUUCA
rnacentral:lncRNA from 1 species